CCAGACUCCUACGGGAGGCAGCAGUAGGGAAUCUUCGGCAAUGGACGGAAGUCUGACCGAGCAACGCCGCGUGAGUGAAGAAGGUUUUCGGAUCGUAAAGCUCUGUUGUAAGAGAAGAACGAGUGUGAGAGUGGAAAGUUCACACUGUGACGGUAUCUUACCAGAAAGGGACGGCUAACUACGUGCCAGCAGCCGCGGUAAUACGUAGGUCCCGAGCGUUGUCCGGAUUUAUUGGGCGUAAAGCGAGCGCAGGCGGUUAGAUAAGUCUGAAGUUAAAGGCUGUGGCUUAACCAUAGUACACUUUGGAAACUGUUUAACUUGAGUGCAAGAGGGGAGAGUGGAAUUCCAUGUGUAGCGGUGAAAUGCGUAGAUAUAUGGAGGAACACCGGUGGCGAAAGCGGCUCUCUGGCUUGUAACUGACGCUGAGGCUCGAAAGCGUGGGGAGCAAACAGGAUUAGAUACCCUGGUAGUCCACGCCGUAAACGAUGAGUGCUAGGUGUUAGACCCUUUCCGGGGUUUAGUGCCGCAGCUAACGCAUUAAGCACUCCGCCUGGGGAGUACGACCGCAAGGUUGAAACUCAAAGGAAUUGACGGGGGCCCCGCACAAG
rnacentral:rRNA from 1 species